rnacentral:ncRNA from 1 species
AUGAGGGCUCCAGAGCUGGACGAUCAGAGUAAGGUUGUAAAGUACUCUUACUACUUAAAAAAACAACAAACCAAUAAAAACCAACCAAUGAGUGCACUCAUUGAGAAGUCUGAUACAUUUUUCUGAAGAAAUCAAAGUGUUCAAAGCUGGCUGGCCAACCGUGCACUCCAGCCAGGAAUAACAGAAUAAGACUUUGGCUCAUCUUUUGUUGUUUUUUGGAAGCAGGGCUAUGAUUAAGAGCAAUGGCUGGGGGCAUUCAUAUUGUUCCACUUGAAUGGGAAUUCUUGGACCAGUGCAAGAUGAACUAAAGCAAAACCAUUUGCCAAGAAUAUUUUUAUUUCACAA